AAUGAACGCUAGCGGGAGGCCUAACACAUGCAAGCCGAGCGGUAUUGUUUCUUCGGAAAUGAGAGAGCGGCGUACGGGUGCGGAACACGUGUGCAACCUGCCUUUAUCUGGGGGAUAGCCUUUCGAAAGGAAGAUUAAUACUCCAUAAUAUAUUGAUUGGCAUCAAUUAAUAUUGAAAGCUCCGGCGGAUAGAGAUGGGCACGCGCAAGAUUAGCUAGUUGGUGAGGUAACGGCUCACCAAGGCGAUGAUCUUUAGUGGACCUGAGAGGGUGAUCCCCCACACUGGUACUGAGACACGGACCAGACUCCUACGGGAGGCAGCAGUGAGGAAUAUUGGUCAAUGGGUGCAAGCCUGAACCAGCCAUCCCGCGUGAAGGACGACUGCCCUAUGGGUUGUAAACUUCUUUUGUAUAGGGAUAAACCUACCCUCGUGAGGGUAGCUGAAGGUACUAUACGAAUAAGCACCGGCUAACUCCGUGCCAGCAGCCGCCGUAACAC
rnacentral:rRNA from 1 species